AGUGUAUGCUUUGGAAGCUCAUACACAAAACUGAAAUGAUACAGAGAAGAUUACCAUGGCCCCUUUUUAAGGAUGACAUGUAAAUUUACGAGGUCUUCCACAUUCAU